GCAGGGGAAGCGGAAAAAAUAAGGUACAAAUUUCCAAUGAUGAAUAUCAUUAUAUUGUAUACCUAAAAUGUACCAAUAAAAUUAAUUUAAAAAUUAAUCUCUACAAAUGAGAACAUUUAACCCUAUUUAUUCAUUCCUUAAGGGUGAGCUAAGCUUGAAACGGUGCUGAGAACUAUGUUCACGUCCAGCACAAACAGAUCAAAAUUGACCCACACAGAGGGAAUUAGAGUAUUUGCCUGGUUGACUGAUGCACGCAGUCUUUCUGGAACACAGCGACAACAACAAAUAGCAGUCACUCAGUUCUUUCUUGGUACCAGGCGCGCUUCAAGUAACCUCUGAUGAUUAUAAGAUUUAAACCUCGUUUCCUUUCUGAAGACUGGAGAUGAGAAAAUGGAAACCUAGGGAGGUUAACAGCUUGAAGGCCACAAGGCAGAGCUCAACCCCAGGACUCUGACAACGCUGCUGGCUGUUAAUCACUGACUUGUACCACUCUGUGUGACCGCAGAAGCUUAAGGGAUUCUCUCGAGGAUCACAGUUACUCUGAUGACGUGGGAAGCAGGGCUGCGAGAGAUUUGAGCAACAAAUUUUAAAAUGACCAGGAUUGCAGUCAACAUGAUACAGUCGUCUGAACAUCCUUCACAGGUUUUGAACAGUUGUGGCUUUGAUGAAAUGGUAUUAUUUCAACAUUUUCGUUAUGGGAACAUAAAAAUAAUUUC
ensembl:lncRNA